UACGGAGGGUGCAAGCGUUAAUCGGAAUUAUUGGGCGUGAAGGGUGCGUAGGUGGUUAGGUAAGUUAUCUGUGAAAGCCCCGGGCUCAACCUGGGACGGUCAGAUAAAACUGCUUGACUCGAGUAUAGGAGAGGGUAGCGGAAUUUCCGGUGUAGCGGUGAAAUGCGUAGAGAUCGGAAGGAACACCAGUGGCGAAGGCGGCUACCUGGCCAGAUACUGACGCUCAUGCUCGAAAGCGUGGGGAGCAAACAGG
rnacentral:rRNA from 1 species